rnacentral:rRNA from 1 species
AUUGAACGCUGGCGGCAGGCUUAACACAUGCAAGUCGAACGAGUGGCGGAAGGGUGAGUAAUGCUUGGGAAUCUAGCUUAUGGAGGGGGAUAACUACGGGAAACUGUAGAUAAUACCGCGUACCAUCGGAUGAGCCCAAGUGGGAUUAGGUAGUUGGUGAGGUAAGGGACGACCAAGCCGACGAUCUAUAGCUGGUCUGCGAGGAUGACCAGCCGCACUGGGACUGAGACACGGGCCAGACUCCUACGUGGGGCAGCAGUGGUGAAUAUUGCGCAAGGGGGGCAACCUGACGCAGCCAUGCCGCGGUUAUGAAGAAGGCCCUAGGGUUGUAAAGUACGUUCAGUCGUGAGGCGUACCGACAGAGGGAGCACCGGCUAACUCCGUGCCAGCAGCCGCGGUAAUAC